GCCUAACACAUGCAAGUCGAGCGGAUGAAGGGAGCUUGCUCCUGGAUUCAGCGGCGGACGGGUGAGUAAUGCCUAGGAAUCUGCCUGGUAGUGGGGGAUAACGUCCGGAAACGGGCGCUAAUACCGCAUACGUCCUGAGGGAGAAAGUGGGGGAUCUUCGGACCUCACGCUAUCAGAUGAGCCUAGGUCGGAUUAGCUAGUUGGUGGGGUAAAGGCCUACCAAGGCGACGAUCCGUAACUGGUCUGAGAGGAUGAUCAGUCACACUGGAACUGAGACACGGUCCAGACUCCUACGGGAGGCAGCAGUGGGGAAUAUUGGACAAUGGGCGAAAGCCUGAUCCAGCCAUGCCGCGUGUGUGAAGAAGGUCUUCGGAUUGUAAAGCACUUUAAGUUGGGAGGAAGGGCAGUAAGUUAAUACCUUGCUGUUUUGACGUUACCAACAGAAUAAGCACCGGCUAACUUCGUGCCAGCAGCCGCGGUAAUACGAAGGGUGCAAGCGUUAAUCGGAAUUACUGGGCGUAAAGCGCGCGUAGGUGGUUCAACAAGUUGGAUGUGAAAUCCCCNGGCUCAACCUGGGAACUGCAUCCAAAACUACUGAGCUAGAGUACNGUAGAAGGUGGUGGAAUUUNCUGUGUAGCGGUGAAAUGCCUUANAUAUAGGAAGGAACACCAGUGGCGAAGGCGACACCUGGACUGAUACUGACACUGANGUGCCAAAGCCUGGGGAGCCAACAGGAUUAGAUCU
rnacentral:rRNA from 1 species